GGGAGGGCUCCUCCCACUUCUCACAGCCUCAUCUCUUAAAAACUCCCAUCUCUCCGCACACAACCCUCAGGGGAAACUCUUCUGUCAAAGGGACAGUGCUAAGAAGCACAACUAAAGGAGAUGAUGGCAAAGAAGGUUGCGGUGAUUGGGGCAGGGGUCAGUGGACUGAUCUCUCUGAAGUGCUGCGUGGAUGAGGGUCUGGAGCCCACCUGCUUCGAAAGGACUGAAGAUAUCGGAGGACUGUGGAGAUUCAAAGAAAACGUGGAAGAUGGCCGAGCUAGCAUCUACCACUCUGUCAUCACCAACACUAGCAAAGAAAUGUCCUGCUUUAGUGACUUCCCAAUGCCGGAGGAUUUCCCCAACUUCCUGCACAACUCUAAACUCCUGGAAUAUUUCAGGAUCUUUGCCAAGAAAUUUGAUCUCCUAAAAUAUAUUCAGUUUCAGACAACCGUCAUCAGUGUGAAAAAACGCCCAGAUUUCGCAUCUUCUGGGCAAUGGGAAGUUUAUACUCAGAGCAAUGGCAAGGAGCAGCGUGCUGUCUUUGACGCUGUUAUGGUUUGCAGUGGCCAUCACAUCCAGCCUCACCUGCCACUCAAGUCGUUUCCAGGUAUCGAGAGGUUCCAAGGCCAGUAUUUCCAUAGCCGCCAAUACAAGCACCCAGUUGGGUUUGAGGGGAAACGCGUCCUGGUGGUUGGAAUAGGAAACUCAGCCGCAGAUAUUGCCUCUGAACUGAGUAAGACGGCCGCACAGGUGUUUAUCAGCACCAGACAUGGUUCCUGGGUCUUGAGCCGAAUCUCUGAAGAUGGCUACCCUUGGGACAUGGUGUUCCACACCAGGUUUAGCUCCAUGCUCCGAAAUGUCCUGCCCCGCACAGUCGUCAAGUGGAUGAUGGAACAACAGAUGAAUCGCUGGUUCAACCAUGAAAAUUAUGGUCUGGUGCCUCAGAACAAAUACCUUAUGAAAGAACCUGUAUUAAAUGAUGAUCUUCCCAGCCGCCUGCUGUACGGCGCCAUCAAAGUAAAAACACGGGUGAAGGAGCUCACGGAGACAACUGUGGUCUUCGAGGAUGGCACGGUGGAGGAAGACGUGGAUGUCAUUGUCUUUGCCACGGGAUAUACCUUCUCUUUUCCUUUCCUGGAAGACUCGCUUGUUAAAGUGGAGGAUAAUAAGGUCUCGCUGUACAAAGCCAUGUUUCCCCCUCACCUGGAGAAGCCAACCCUUGCGUGCAUAGGUCUCAUCCAGCCUCUGGGCUCCAUCUUCCCAACUGUAGAGCUUCAGGCACGUUGGGCAACAAGAGUUUUCAAAGGCUUGUGUAGCUUGCCUUCGGAGAUGACUAUGAUGGCAGACAUUGUUGAAAGAAAUGAGAAAAGAAUUAACCUGUUUGGAAAAAGCCAGAGCCAGAUACUGCAGACCAAUUACGUUGACUACCUGGAUGAACUAGCUUUGGAAAUAGGUGCGAAGCCAGACUUCAUCUCUCUCCUUUUCAAAGACCCUAAACUGGCUGUGAGACUCUACUUCGGACCCUGCAAUUCCUACCAGUACCGUCUAGUUGGACCUGGACAGUGGGAAGGAGCCAGGAAUGCCAUCCUCACCCAGAAGCAGAGGAUCCUGAAGCCCUUAAAGACUCGAACUCUCCAGCCCUCAGCUAACGCCUCAGUAUCUUUCCUGCUCAAGCUCCUGGGACUGCUCGCUGUUGUUCUAGCUUUCUUUUUCCAACUUCAGGGGUUCUAAUCUGUCACCUGACACUUUUCUCCAUCACUGCCUCUUUGAAAGGGAGACUAAAAAAAAUCACAUCCUCAUUAUAAUUUUACUUCAGGGGAACAAAUAGAGGGACUAAUUGUAGGGAGAUCAGAAGACGUAGGUCUAGAUAUAAAACUAAAUUAAGGUCACAAGAUGUCCUUAUCAUUCUAUUUCCUCAAAUUCAUCUGUCUCCAUACUGUAUUCUACAAUAAUACCAGCACAGGUAGAUAGUGCCAUCAGCCAUGGCAGGUUUUGAGUUACGUGAUUAAAAGAAUUCAAUAAAAUUAUGCAGAAUAAAAAGUAAGUCAUAGUUGAGCAUGUUAGCACACGCCUUUAAUCUUAGCACUUGGGUGGCAUAUGGAUCUCCAUGAGUUUGAGGCCAGGCUGGCCUAAAGAGUGAGUUCCAGGACUUCCAGAACUGCACAGGUAGAUCUUGUCUCAAAAAAAAAAAAGGCAAGACACUGAAGAACUUAAAUUGUGGUAGAGAUUUCACAUCCUGUACACUAUGCUCAGUGCUGUUCCUACGCAUACUCUAGUCACCGUUCCUACUUAUUAGGGUCUGCUAUCUCUUGAUGAGAGAUCACUCAGAAAUACUGGUGGACAAAAAAGAGAGGAUAGACCAAAAGCAACAACAAUGCUGGGAUAUACUUUAAGUUCCUCAUAUUGCAAGCUAAGCAAAUAGACACAGCUCCUGUAUGUUGCUAGAAACACUGAUCCCCUAGCUACAACAUAUAGAUAUUGUUUCUCACAGACUAGACAUUGUGCUAUGUGUACAUUAUGUAUUUUAUUGUAUUUAAUUCUCACAGCAACUGUCUUGAGAUGAGGCUUCAAUUGAUGCCCAAUUUGUUAAACUCUGGAACUAACAGUCAUGAGCUCACCAUGCAAUACGCUUAUUUAUAAAAGCUCCACUCUUGAUGAAGUACUUCCUAAUUGUUUAUUUUAUUCAUUAUAAGAUCACACUAUAGUUCUAUUCAUUAGCAUAAAGUUUUCUAAAACUAUUGUAAAAAAUGGCACUUUCCUUGCAAAUACAACCUGUCUAGGUUCGUUUACAGUAUUAGGUCUUCAUGUCAGCUGGAGCUUAAAAAGCACUUGAGGUUGGCACAGUGUACAGACCUUUAAUCCCAGCACUAAGGAGGCAAGGAGGUGGAUCACUAUGAGCUUGAGGCUGGGCUGGUCUACAUAGCAAAAUCUGGGCCAGCCAAGGCUACAUGGUGACACCCUGCCUCAAAAGAAAAAUAAUUUUAAAGAGAACUAGAAUGAAAAAUACCUCUGCAGCAGUACUUAAAGUAAUUAUCAACAUUUGGAAGGGUGACAAUUGAAGUAAAGUGUAUCUCCCAAGCAGAUGAAAACUGUUACGAUGACUGAGCCAGUGUCUAGGAUUAACAUGAUAGGUAAGAAAGGCACAUCUCAGCAAUGCACUGUCUUUGUCAUCUGAUAAGGGGGCAGGGAGUGUCAUUUUCUUGGAACUGAAAACUAAAGGAGACAUAAGCAAUUCAGUGUCAGCAAACAUUGAGCAACAUAGCAAACAGCAGGCUACAAACACUCCUGAUAGCAGCUCUUCCCGUGACCCGCACUGUGAAAGAUAAGCCAUGCCCAGACACCAGACCAGUGCCUCUGCAGAGGGGACAAAGGUUGAGAUAUUGAAGGUUUAGGUAAAUAGCUGUUCGUUAUCCCUCCAAGGAGUGAUUCUCAACUUUCCUCAUGCUACACCCCUUUAAAUCAGUCCCUCAUGCUGUGGUGGCCCCCAACUCUAAAAUUAUUCCAUUGCUACUUCAUAACUGUAAUUUUGCUACUCUUAUGGAUCGUAAUGCAAAUAUCUGAUAUGUCACCCCUGUGGGGGUCUCAACCCACUGGUUGAGAACUACUGCUUUAAAGCUUUGUGGACGCUCUCUUUAAGCCUAACUAAUGCCAGCCCCUCUCUCCUUUCUUUCUCCUCGCUCUCCUCCUCCCUUUCCAGUCUGAUGGCAAUAUCUUCCAAUAGGAACUUCUUUCUUUUAAGCCCACUGAAUUGGACUGCAGAACUGCCCAGUUGACAAAGCCUUGGAAGCUUAAGAAUCUGAAGUUGAGCUUCAGAACCUGCAUUUUACCAACCAGGUGUGGCAGAACACACAUCUGAUCCCAGCACUGGAGAGGAAGAUGAUGACAGUUUCCUGGGUGUCUCUGGCCAGCCUCCUCUGUUUUAAUGAGUGCCAGGGAAGCAAAGACAUUGUUAGAGUGAACUACCCAGGCCAUGACAUAUAAAAGAAUUUCAAACAACCAUUUCAAAACACGAAGCCUUUGAAAGCUUAACCCAGAGGAAGGGUCUUCUUUGAAGCCAGUCUUCCACCCUGGAAGCUCUCCUGACCUGGAACUACUUUGGCCUGCUUCCAGGAGGUGCAAUGUGCUGACAUCAAGCAAAACUCACUUGUCCAUCCUGCCCUAUGACCUGGGAAACAGAUCAAAGCAGCUAACGCAAGGUCUCUCAGCACUGAACUCUACUUGAUCCAGGUCAGACGCCAAAGUGAGAUGAAACAUGUGAGAUGUUAUGGAGGAAGAUUUUUGUGUCGGCAAACAAGAGGAAAGCCUGGGAAAGAUGCAAGAGUCAUCAUCAGCCCACAGUGCAAGCCCCAGCCUCUGUGAAGGAGAGACAGAAAAAAGUCGGUGUGAGUAGCACACACUGAUGAAAGGCAGAGAACUCAGGGCCACUGAGCUGUCGCUGUCAGAGAGGCCCAGAGGAACCAGCGUUUCUGCCCUACAAAUCCAAACAAACCAUCAUAAGGACUGACUGUUCUUCCUAUGGGUGACAAGUGUUCUCAGGCUUGUAGCAUGUAACUGUAUGCUAUAGAUUCUGGGACAGGAUUCUACUCACAAGUAAUGAGGUUUGCUGCUAAAUAGCUCUAUACUUUAGGCAGCUGGCCAGUAGACAAUGGAUGAUUAUAUAAAGGCAUCAGUUUCUCUUAAAUAUAGCUCUUCCUGAGCUAUUUUAAGGUUCAGCAACCUUUGUGACCUGCAUAAAAUACUCAGAGCCAUUGUAUGUCAUAAACAAUUCAAUUUGAUUUAAUUAUAUUUAGUUAUAGCAGCCUGUCUUAAGAUUGGCAUCAAAGUAAACCAUGUGUCCUAAGUCUUAUGUCUUGCAAAUGGGAUCCUUGGCUUUCAUAGGUAGAACUAUCCACUCUCGAGCCUUCACUGUGUGAAAGAAUAACAAAGCUACGAUAUGUUUAUAUUUUCUAUUAAUUGCCUAAAAUCCAAAAAUGACAUAUCAUAUCAAUUGGCAUAUUUCAUCUCUAUUUAUCAAAGAUGGAAAUUAUUCUAGCAAUACUACGAAGUGCACAUUGUCAAACAAAAAAUUUUAAAUGUUUGUGUCUGACAUCAUAGAAUAAAACUUUGUUGAUGUACAUAGCAA